CCAGACUCCUACGGGAGGCAGCAGUGGGGAAUAUUGCACAAUGGGGGGAACCCUGAUGCAGCGACGCCGCGUGGGUGAAGGAGCACCUCGGUGCGUAAAGCCCUAUCGGCAGGGAAGAAACAGACGGUACCUGACUAAGAAGCCCCGGCUAACUACGUGCCAGCAGCCGCGGUAAUACGUAGGGGGCAAGCGUUAUCCGGAUUUACUGGGUGUAAAGGGGGCGCAGACGGCAGCGCAAGCCAGGAGUGAAAGCCCGGGGCCCAACCCCGGGACUGCUCUUGGAACUGCGCGGCUGGAGUGCAGGAGGGGCAGGCGGAAUUCCUAGUGUAGCGGUGAAAUGCGUAGAUAUUAGGAGGAACGCCAGUGGCGAAGGCGGCUUACUGGACGGCAACUGACGCUGAGGCUCGAAAGCGUGGGGAGCAAACAGGAUUAGAUACCCCAGUA
rnacentral:rRNA from 1 species